rnacentral:rRNA from 1 species
CAUGCUGUAAACGAUGCGGACUAGGUGUGGCGGUGAGGAGCCGCUGUGCCGCAGCCAACGUGAUAAGUCCGCCACCUGGGGAGUACGGCCGCAAGGUUAAAACUCAAAGGAAUUGACGGGGGCCCGCACAAGCAGCGGAGCGUGUGGUUUAAUUCGAGGCUACACGAAGAACCUUACCUGGGCUUGACAUGGCGGUAGUAGCGACCUGAAAGGGGAGCGACCUUCGGGAGCCGUCACAGGUGC